rnacentral:rRNA from 1 species
CAGGCCUACGGGACGCAGCAGUAGGGAAUCUUCCACAAUGGGCGAAAGCCUGAUGGAGCAACGCCGCGUGGGUGAAGAAGGUCUUCGGAUCGUAAAACCCUGUUGUUAGAGAAGAAAGUGCGUGAGAGUAACUGUUCACGUUUCGACGGUAUCUAACCAGAAAGCCACGGCUAACUACGUGCCAGCAGCCGCGGUAAUACGUAGGUGGCAAGCGUUAUCCGGAUUUAUUGGGCGUAAUGGGGACGCAGGCGGUCUUUUAAGUCUGAUGUGAAAGCCUUAGGCUUAACCGGAGGAGUGCAUUGGAA